rnacentral:rRNA from 1 species
UACGAGUGCCCCAAGCGUUAUCCGGAAUCACUGGGCGUAAAGGGUGUGUAGGCGGUUGUGUUAGUCUCCCGUUAAAACCUCGGGCUUAACCUGAGAUCGGCUGGAGAAACGGCACAACUAGAGUAUGCGAGAGGUAUAUGGAACUCAUGGUGUAGGGGUGAAAUCCGUUGAUAUCAUGGGGAACACCAAAGGCGAAGGCAAUAUACUGGCGCAUGUCUGACGCUGAGACACGAAAGCGUGGGUAGCGAAAGGG